UUAUGGAUAGAAGGGCUGAAUUUACUGAAUUGCAAAGAACCCUUGGCUUCAUACAGAGAGAGUGACAGGAGCAGCCUGGAAUGAGGAAGAGACUACAGGGAGGAUCUGGUCUGACAAUGAAGCUGACAUAGCAAAGACCCAGGGAACAGUGUGGAAAUGUCAUAGUUUCAGCUGCAGCAACAAUGUAUGAAGAGGAAACACUAUAAAGAGGAACAAAGAGG
rnacentral:lncRNA from 1 species